UAUGACUUGCGUUGAUUUGGU
ensembl:piRNA 21ur-2475 ncRNA